ensembl:snoRNA R07G3.16 ncRNA
CAGUGCUUUGCGACGCAGAGUGACUGGCACAACAUGUCAACUGAUAGACAGUGCGGAGAUAGUUUAUGAGUUGUAGAGACGCAGAAUGUCUCGGAAGUUGCUCUCUUUCUAUUCCUCUUCUUCCUUUCACUAUCUCUCUGUUGGUGCUCGCGGUGCCAUAGUCCAGAUCUC